AUUGAACGCUGGCGGCAUGCUUUACACAUGCAAGUCGAACGGCAGCGCGGGCUUCGGCCUGGCGGCGAGUGGCGAACGGGUGAGUAAUACAUCGGAACGUGCCCAGUAGUGGGGGAUAGCUCGGCGAAAGCCGGAUUAAUACCGCAUACGACCUAAGGGUGAAAGCGGGGGAUCUUCGGACCUCGCGCUAUUGGAGCGGCCGAUGGCAGAUUAGCUAGUUGGUGGGGUAAAGGCCUACCAAGGCGACGAUCUGUAGCUGGUCUGAGAGGACGACCAGCCACACUGGGACUGAGACACGGCCCAGACUCCUACGGGAGGCAGCAGUGGGGAAUUUUGGACAAUGGGCGAAAGCCUGAUCCAGCAAUGCCGCGUGUGUGAUGAAGGCCUUCGGGUUGUAAAGCACUUUUGGCGGGAACGAAAAGGACUGUGCCAAUACCACGGUUCGAUGACGGUACCCGCAGAAUAAGCACCGGCUAACUACGCG
rnacentral:rRNA from 1 species